CCAAUAGCGUAUAUUAAAGUUGUUGCAGUUAAAAAGCUCGUAGUUGAAUUUCGAGAUCAGUACGCUGGUCGUGCCUUCGGUAUGCACUGGUGUCACUGGUUUCUCCCUUCUGAAGAACCGUCAUGCCAUUCAGUUGGUGUGGCGGGGAAUCAGGACUGUUACUUUGAAAAAAUUAGAGUGUUUAAAGCAGGCUCGCGCUUGAAUACAUUAGAAUGGAAUAAUGAAAUAGGACGUUUGACCCUAUUUUGUUGGUUUCUAGGAUCGACGUAAUGAUUAAUAGGGAUAGUUGGGGGCAUUAGUAUUCAAUUGUCAGAGGUGAAAUUCUUGGAUUUAUUGAAGACUAACUACUGCGAAAGCAUUUGCCAAGGAUGUUUUCAUUAAUCAAGAACGAAAGUUAGGGGAUCGAAGACGAUCAGAUACCGUCGUAGUCUUAACCAUAAACUAUGCCGACUAGGGAUCGGAUGAUGUUAAUUUUUUAAUGACUCAUUCGGCGCCUUACG
rnacentral:rRNA from 1 species